UACGUAGGGUGCGAGCGUUAAUCGGAAUUACUGGGCGUAAAGCGUGCGCAGGCGGUUUUGUAAGCCAGAUGUGAAAGCCCCGGGCUCAACCUGGGAAUUGCAUUCGAGACUGCGUAGCUAGGGUGCGGAAGAGGGAAGCGGAAUUUCCGGUGUAGCGGUGAAAUGCGUAGAUAUCGGAAGGAACACCAGUGGCGAAAGCGGCUUCCUGGUCCAGCACCGACGUUCAGGCACGAAAGCGUGGGGAGCAAACAGG
rnacentral:rRNA from 1 species